rnacentral:rRNA from 1 species
UACAGAGGGUGCGAGCGUUGUCCGGAAUCACUGGGCGUAAAGGGCGCGUAGGUGGCGCUGCAAGUCGGUGGUGAAAGCUCGUCGCUUAACGGCGAGUCGGCCAUCGAAACUGCAGGGCUCGAGCACUGUAGGGGCUAAUGGAAUUCCGGGUGUAGCGGUGGAAUGCGUAGAGAUCCGGAAGAACACCAGUGGCGAAGGCGGUUAGCUGGGCAGUUGCUGACACUGAGUGCGACGCAGUGGAGGGAACAACGAUGAUAACCGGAACGUCG